ensembl:lncRNA
AACUCAUUGAAAUCUUGGCCCUUAGAGACUAUAAUUAGGAGAGAAAGAGCCCACAGUUGCUCCAAAUAGAAGAAAGGAGCAGGAGAGUGAGCUGAGGGCCAAGCCGACUGGGAAGUGUCAUUCAUGGAUGCUACCCCUCUCAGAGGCGCUUCUUUUCCUUCUCUCCCUGUCAUCUUGGCCAGUGGCAGUCCCUACUCCUCAUGAGCUGCCUCCAUCUGUGUAGCCCCUGCAUUGAGGCCUUGGGGUUCUUGGGGGUUAGGGCAGAACCUGACAUCCAGAGCUGGUGUGAGUGGGUGAGCCUGGGACUCACUCAGGUAGGAGUCUCUCAAGAGGCACUGCCCGCUGCAGUGCUGUAGAGCUGACUGCAGCCACAGUCCCUGACACAGGAAAGAGAACAUAGAGCUGAAGAGGAGCUUGCCCAGGGGAGUGUUCUCGCGGUGGUUAUGACUCACUAAGGAUGGUUGUGAGAUAUGAAAGGGCUGACAGCUGAAGCCAUCACCAACAGCACUGCUGGCAGCUGGGCAAGAAACCCUUCCGGAAAGGGGCAUCACAGCAUCCACCACGGUCUACCCUUUGUGCAGUUGGAUCCACUCUUCACAUACACUCUGGAAGCAGCUCCUUCUGCAGUCCAGUGGGCCUCUUUCUGGGGGGAAACCUAGAAGAUAAAGAUCUAGAGUAAGACUAGCCAGAGCCCCUGCUGCUGCAGUGGGUCUGAGAACCACAACCAAUACUCAUCAUCUCUCUUCCACCAUCCAUUCCAGCUUCCUCUCACCCUCAGCCUCGACGGCUUACCUGGUGGUGUGACCCAGACAUGCAUCCCUGAGAGGUUUGUGCCCCUGGUCACCAGGCCCUUCUCAGGCUGGGCUUGCUACACUCAUGCACUUACUGUCAAAAUGGUGCAAGGACCAAAAGGUGCUCCAGUGGAGCACCCGGGUGUCAAGCAUAGUCCGUCGCAUGGAGGCAACCCAAGUAGAUUUUCACAGAAAAAAGCAAGUGAAACCCAGGAAGCUAAUAUUAAACCAUUUCCUGACUCCACCCUCAGAUAAUAAGUCCAUUAAUUUGAUUUCCUUCCCUUUGUUCAAACGAGGCUUAUCAAAACAUUCUGAUUGUAAUUGUAUGCAUAUGCGUAAAAAGUAUAUGACUGUAUGUAUGUAUCUAUAUAAAUCAGAGGCUACAGAAAAAUAUAAGGGAUACCAUAUAAAUCACCCAGAUACCACCAUCCAGAGGGAAAUACUGUUAUCCUCUUGAUACCUUUCUUUGCAGUCUUUUUCUCUGUAUAUUUCUUUGAUUUUUCUAAAAUGAAAAACUACCCAUAUGUAUAUAUAAAUUAGUAUUCUGCCUCUUUUUUGUUAAUGUGACAGUAUAUUGUAAAUACUUCCCAACCGCCUCUAUCUUGGCACUAUAUUCAUGGAAGGGCAGAUGAAUCAGGCUGAUCGUGAUUACUUCUAGACAACAUUUGUCAAAAUAAUUUUUGUGAUAAGAACCGGUUGAUUUUGAAGAAUUUAACAAAGCGAUUUCCUUUGGAAGACAAAAAGCAGCCUACAUAAUACAGAGCAUAUAUAGUAACGACUACCGUAAUAGUAAGUAUAUUAUCUCAUUUAAUACUGGAGCCGUAUUACGAGUCCAGUGCAUAUUAUUACUGCUACUACAGAUGAGGAAAUUGAGGUUCAGAGAGAUUAAAUCACUUGUCAGGGUCACACAACUAGAACCUAGAAUCAAAGCUCAAGUCUAGAUUUCCUGCCCUUGUAUCCCACACU